rnacentral:lncRNA from 1 species
CCAGAGUUGACCGACGAUGUGAAGGAGAAGAAUGCUACUCUAUAAUCGGUACAGUCCUCUUUCUGAAAGCGCUCUGCCCAGCUUAGCGCAUGGAAGGGCGAGUCGUUCUGUUAGGGUAGGGGUCACGCCCUAGAAAGGUCUGAGGCAACGAGAUCAACUGCUGACCCAAGAAGGUAGGGAAGAGACGAGGAAGGGCUAAUCCCCGAGUCAGGGGCAUCUAUCUUUAUUUACGCAAAGCAAAGCUAUUUAUUGAUGUCGAUUUAGAUAUGUUCAUUGGCCUGCGACUGAUCUCAUCGUCUGUUUUCCCCAAGUUGUUCUGUUAGGGUAGGGGUCACGCCCUAGAAAGGUCUAAGGCAACAACAUCAACUGCUGACCCAAGAAGGUAGGGAAGAGACGAGGAAGGGCUAAUCCCCGAGUCAGGGGCAUCUAUCUUUAUUUACGCAAAGCAAAGCUAUUUAUUGAUGUCGAUUUAGAUAUGUUCAUUGGCCUGCGACUGAUCUCAUCGUCUGUUUUCCCCCUCUUU